AGUUGACUCUCCCUCCUCCUCUAAUCCAAUCUUCUUGUCUUAUCGUCGAGAGUUGAUCCUGAGCCGUCUCCUCCUCUGAUCCAACUUCUCCAUCUCAUCAUCGAGAUAUCAAACAUUCUCUCAUCCUCUCCAAUUCUCUUCCCUCUCUCCGGUGGCUAGCACGAAUGACAAUGGCAAACACGGCUCGAGGCAAUGCCGUCUCUAUCCUUCCACCUCUUCCUCCC
rnacentral:lncRNA from 1 species